rnacentral:lncRNA from 1 species
AGGCAGUGUAACAGAAUGAGGGAAGGUGAGUGUGACAAUAUUAAGGGGGUUAAUGUGGCAGGAUUAGAUUCAUGUGGAGGGGUGAGUGUGGCAGGGUUGGGGGGGGGAGUGUGUCAGGGUUUUGGGUGAGUGUGGCACAGCUGGAGGACAGGAUUGGAGGGGCCUAUGUGAGUGUGGCAGGGUGAAGAGGGUGAGUGGGACAGACUGAUAGAGGAUGAGCUGGGCACUGACAGGAUUGACGGGGGUUAAUGUGAUAGGGUAAUUGCUGCAAAGCAAGGGAAGGUGAGUUUGGUAUGGUUGGAGGGGGUGCGAGUGACAGGAUUGGAGGGUUUAAUGUGAGUGAAGGGAGAGACCGUGUGUGGGGGAUGAAAGUGUUUGGGAAUGGUGAUAGUGUAUGUGUGACAAUGUGUGCGUGUGGGGGAGACAUUGUGUGCAUGUGGGAGUGACAGUGUGUGCAUGUGGGGGUGACCGUGUGAUAGUAGAGGGGGACUGUGACAGGGUGUGUGGAAGCUGUGACAUGGUGUGUGUGUGGAGGGGUGACAGGGUGUGUUGAGGGGCUGUCAUCCCACAGCCAGUAAGGUGGGUUGUGACAGGGUAAGGGGGGACUGUGACAGGGUGGGGGGGGGGGGCUGUAGAGGAUGGGGGACUAUGACGGGUAGGGACUGUGACAAUAUGUGUGGUGGCUGCAACAAGUGGUUGGGGGCUGUGACAUGAUAGGGUGAGUGGCUACCUGUGACACAUGUGGGGGUGUAGAAAGGGGGCAAUAUGACAGAGGGGCAAGGGGGUAGAAGGCAAGUGAGAGAGUGGGUAGGGGUAUGGAGGGUCUGUGACAGGAGAGGUCUAUGAGAGAGGGGUAGGGUGGAAUACAUAUGAGAAGGGGUAGGGUGGUGGAGGGCAGUGAGAGAAGGUGGGGGUAGUAACAGAGGUACAGAGAUAAGGGCCAAUGCAGAGUGAGAGAUGAAAGAGCAAUGGCACAGAGUUGGAAGGAAUAGGAGGGCAAUGGCACAAAGGAGGUAGAGGUGGUGGAGGUGAGAGAGGCUGUGACAGUGGGACAGAGGCUGUAAAAAGUAGCAGGUUGGAAGAACAGUGGCUUAGGAGUAGGGAUGGAAGGGAGCAGUAACAGAGUGGUUACAGAAAGAUGGAGGGCAGUGAUGACAGAAAUUGGGGAGUGUAUAGAGGUAGUAGGAUGAAGGAAGUAACAGAGUGGGAAUUGUAGUAAUGGGGUGGGGAUGGAAGGAAUAGCAGGGGUGGGGGGUAAGAGGCAGUGAGAGGGGGUAGGGGGGAUGGAGGAUCUGUGACAGGGCGUAGGGGGGUAAGAGGCAGUGAGAGGGGGUAGGGGGGAUGGAGGGUCUGUGACAGGGGGUAAGGGGGUGGAGUGGCAGUAACAUGGGGUAGGGAGAGGGAGGGUCUGUGACAGGGGGUAAGGGGGUGGAGUGGCAGUAACAGAGGGUAGGGGUUGUGCCAGUGGGUAGGAGGGGCUGUGACAGGGNNNNNNNNNNNNNNNNNNNNNNNNNNNNNNNNNNNNNNNNNNNNNNNNNNNNNNNNNNNNNNNNNNNNNNNNNNNNNNNNNNNNNNNNNNNNNNNNNNNNAACAGGGGCUAGGGGGUAGUAACAGAGGGAGGGGGGAUGGAGGGGCAGUAACAGGGGGUAGGGGGAAUGGAGGGGCAGUAACAGGGGUAGUGGGGUAGUAACAAGGGAUAGGGAGUAAUAACAGGGGGUAAGGGGGUGGAGGGGCAGUGACAGGGGUAGGAGGGAUGGAGGGACAGUAACAGGGGGUAAGGGGGUGGAGGGGCAGUGACAGGGGUAGGAGGGAGAGGAGGGGCUAUAACAGGGGUAGGGGGUUCAUAAAUACCUUCCCUGGUGGUCCUGUGGGUGUCUUCUCUCCCCAGUGGUCCGGCUCUCUGGUCUGCAGCUCCGCCGGGAGUGAGCUGCAGACCAAGUGGUAAAUCUCGUGAUGUCCAGUCAGAGCGUUGCCGUGGUAACCCGUGGCAUCGCUCUGAGAGGCGGGAGAUCGCGAGACACUUCAGUCUGCAGCCCACUCCCAGCGGAGCUGCAGACUGAUUGAUGGCUCUCUCUGACAGGAGGGGCCUUACACCCGGUGGCAUUAUGGACAAGCCUCUGACCGAGCACCCAACAUGGUUGUUUGCCCUAAGGUGAUUUAGGCAGCCGCGAGGCCUUAGGCGGCCGCCUAAAUCAUCUAAUUAGAGAGCCACCUCUGCUGUACUUCUGGAGACAUAUAUUAAUCUGAAAAAUAUCCAGAAAUUCUGACCUAUGUUCUGGGCAACUUUUGGUUUGACUUGGCUCUGUAAAAGCACAUUUUUGUUUAUGAAGUAGCUCAUAUCCAAGCUGAGAGCUUUAAGUGAUGUUAACAUGGAGUCCGAAUUAAGUUGUGCCCUGACUGAAAACACCCAAAGUUCUCAAGCAUUGUUCGGUCAAAUAGUUACUCUUGUUAAAUUCUUGAGCCUUAUUUUUCAGUUUUAAUUGGUUAAACCUGUUUUAAAUGUAUUUUUUUUUUGACUGACUUUGUGUUAAUAUUUAUAUUAUUUUGUAUUGUUAGAAUGAUAUAUAAAAGUUUAUCUGUUUUUCGCUUACUUUUGCAAUAUCUCCAAAUUAACAUGCAACACACAGUUAUAAGGCCAUAUUUUCUUUCAGUGAAAAAUUGAGUGUGUUCCACUCACACAUACAUUUCUGAUGAAGUGGUCCACUGCAGAAAAAAUUUGGACACCCCUUAUCUAUGACCACAAAAAAUAUUUAAAUAUAAACUUCCUAGUAAGUAACAACCCAUAGCAUGAAUGGAUACAGUUUCACUGUAUAUAGUCCCCUUGAUACUGUAAAUAGGAUAGGCAUAGCUAAUUAGAACAAUUUUUAUGGUGUAUGUUAGGCCAAGUGCUACCUACAAAUAUCCUAAAUCUACACAACUCCUCGAGAUUAAAAACCCACGUCACAUUCCUUAUUCAUUUCUGCUGGUGUCCUAGUAAAUGAGAACAAAUCCAGUAGAUCUCCACAGAACCCCUAAUCUAACCCCUACUCUAGGGGUCACCAAUACAUGUUUAAUAAUCUGAAAUUGGAGGUUCUUUAAAUCAAUAGAAUGUUCCAUGUAAUGUCUUCCAACAGGUGAUUUAGUAUUUUCAUUAUAAAUCAAUCUAUUCUGUUCCCUCACACAGCUCUUAGAGCUUCACUCCAUUAUGCCCACAUACUGUUUUUGGCAUACCAAACAUGUAAUUAAAUACAACAAAUGAUCCGGAUUGCAAAUUAAAUACUCCUUCAUCCUAAAUUCUUUCCCAUAACCGAGGAUGUCGCUAUAUAUAGUGCCAAUUCCCUUCCUUAUAUAAACAUGUUUAAACAUGUAUUCUUUAAAUUGUCACCUUAAAUCAAACUAGGAGACAAAAUAUUGACAUGAGGCAGCUUAUGCUGUCCAGUCACUAAAUUGGGCGGAGAAAACUUACAGAAUUGUGUCACCUGAUGAGGCAACCACAUUCCUGACAACCCUUGGCCUAGCAGGAUCCGGAGGACUCAGCCAGGCCACUCUUCGCAUGUCCCUAACAUCACACCGUUUGUUCCUCCAAGAGACCGGGACUCUGUCAUUGCUUGAACCCAUUGAUCCACUUAACUGUGGCCUUUUAACAUCACAGUGUUUUCCCCGAGCACAAUGCAAUAGUAUUACCAUAUGGGGCAUUUUAGUCCUCGGGAGCUUGCAUAGAGGUUAGACUUAACACUUCUGACUGGUUCCUUGUACAUGAUCCCCCCUCACUGCCCCCUUCGUUAGGGGUACUUUCACACGCUGGAAGCUUGAGGCACAGACCAGGCGGCUUACCCUAGACACCAGCUUCUAAUUAAUGCAGGCCAUACCAAUCAUCCCUAGUACAGCCUUGAUGUCUUUUCUGGAGGGGCUAUGGCACCUUCACUUGUGGGAGUCGGUCGAUCCACCUCACAGGGUUAGUGUUAACUAAGCGCACUACAACCUUGAUUGGCAAUUUUAAUGUAUCAUUCUUUUCUAGGCAAGCAACUCAGUUAACUUUAUUUUAGCAGAUUUUUGCCAUUCUUUUCAAUAUAGUAUAGUGCCAUGUUAUUCCAGGUUUCAGAGAUUAUUCUCUUAUCUCCAGCUCGAGGUCCAGCAAUGUUAAAUCUACAGAACGCACCAUGCCUAGUCUACAUAUUACCAUUGAGCACCCCACCUCUCCUAAAUACACAGAGGUGACUCUUAAACCUGAUAUGCUACAGUGACAAAUUCAUUUUAUAUUAAGACGGUACAUGUUAGCCUGAAACCUGAUGAUGUCUAGCAUUCUGUGCAUUUCACUCGAAUAGAAUACAUGGCCUCAGAGGGGCAAGUUAAAACUUACUUAGCAUGCCUAGCAUAGUUUGUUUAUGUUAUCUAUAACAUUAGCAUAAUGUCAGUACGUUUAUUCCGAUUUCUCUAUGUGUAUGUUUCAACACUCAUCUGACAAUUUAGAGUAGACAAUUUGUUAUACUUCUUUAAAAAAAAAAAGUGCUAAAGUUAAAUCUACCAUGUCAGUGUUACUUAAUGUCAUAAUCUGCCUUGCGUGCAGCUGUUGUCGUGGCACAGCAAGCUAAUAUGUACUCUCUUGCAUAAUCAAAAUAAAGAUUGACAAAAGAAAAAACUAAAGCAGAGAUUACAAGUUGAAAAGGAAGCAGGAAAUAAAUCCUACCCCUUGUCAAAAUGUAGCCAGUGGACAUUCCACUAACAGUGUCAUAUGAGUCUUUUGUAGACUGAACAAUACCAGUUAGGUAAAUUGAAGAAGUAAUCAAAAUGGCAACUCUGGAAUUUAGCAGAUAAAUAUGUGCACUGAUUUUAAGAUUUUUUUAUUUCAAUAAAGUGAAUCAAAACUGCAGCGCUCUCUUGUAAUAUUUUCCUCAUCAUGCCUUCGAGAGCACCUGUCAUAACUUUGAUAAUAAGGCCAGCUAAUCACUCCCAUUGUAGCGUUACAUAUAUGUAGAUGCUGCAGGUAUCUGUAAAAAGAUUGAUAAACCGCUGCACAAUGUUAAUGUUGGCUAGGGGUCCCGGGGAAGCAGGGCGUAAGAAUCACACAGGGUCGCCAUGGUGCCGGACAGGUUGCGGAGUAGCAUAUACAAGGGUGCCAUUCUGAGGCCUGUGUAGAUUCCGGUUGCUGGCGUUGGGCAGGUCACAUCAGGGCCCAAGGGCAGUGUCCCCAGAGGUGUCGGUUACAGGGCUAGGGCGGCAUCAACGCCAGCGGUUCCUCUGGGGAGCGCUCGGUGGCUUAUCGGCGUGGAUCUAAGGGCAGAUCAGCCCGGUAGCGGAGCAGGAGUCCCAGGGGUAAGGCCAGUGGGGCCUCAAGGACUGGCGGGGCUAGGAUUGGGGGAUCGUGGGGCGAGACACCAGGAGGGGGUCACGGCAUGACUGGUGAUGCAGGGGUAUGGAGAGCACGGAACAGUACAACCGGCCCAGGUAUUCUUCUUCUUCUAGGCCUGACAGUGCAUCUCUGUGACGAACUACACUUCGCCACUGACUUUUGGAGAGGCCUGCUUGCCAGCCUCUUGCCCUGUGACUAUGGCCCCUGGGGUGUAUUGCCAUUUAAAAAGUCUAUUUGGGCUUAUUGGAUUUUAAAACACUUUUUCUGCCCCUUUAAAUCCAUGGGAAAAUGUGCCUCUUCUCCUCCCCCUUUUUCCUGUCCUAUUGUUUCUCCAGCAUGGCGUUGUUCCAAGAACACUGCCAGACCAGUUGAAACUGGCUGCUUUGUCUCUCCUCAAUCUCUCCUCAGCCCUUGCUAUUGUUUAACCCCAUGGCGAUCAAACUGUAUUCGUGAGAUCUGAGCGUUUCGGACAUAUUGAGCGCUCAGAUCCAAGCUAUCUGGGCAUAUAGGUUAAACAUUGUAUUAUAAGAGUUAUGUAUUUUUAUGUGGUUUUUGUAACAGUUUUUGACUUAGAGAUAUUUCCUGUUACUGGAGAUAAUUAGAUUACCACAGCCACUUAAGCCAAUAAUCGCCAGGAUAGAGGAGAAGAUACAGCCUAAAUCUGUGGAACUGUUUUGGGCAUGAAAGCCAUGCUUGCGGUCGGUCAAAAGAGACUUCCAUAAAACUUUUGAACCCCUGCUCUGAUCUGUGUGAUUUUUGGAUAUGUUGUUCACACUGAUCAGGGAUAUUCAGGGAUAUAUUUGUGGGGAUAUGUUGUUGUUUUGAGGAGUUUCUGGACUUUGGGCAAAACUGGAUACUUUCUGCCUGUGGUAAUUGAGUUAGUCCAUUGUGUUUGGUAAUUGUAUCACAGGCAGAGGGGAGGGUUUGUGUACAUUAGCUGGGAGUGUCUAACUGUACAAUACUGUGUUGAUUGGCUGUUGUAACUUUGUGUCCUGUGCUCCACAAGGUCCACUUGGGUGGUAACCUUGUGGGGAAAACUGUAUAUAAGAAAUGCCUUUGUGCUCAUUAAACCAGUUCUACUUAACCCUCAACUCGCAGCCUUGACUCGUGUUUGGAGGGGACAGGUAUAAUCACUACAGGGAUUGCUAUGCUCUUCAUAUUCCCUUAGCUUCACUGAGCUCUUGUAAGAGCUUGCUCCUGUUCCUGCUUCGCUCUCUGGAAGGAAGAGAGGUUCACCCACUGGAAACUGUAGCCUUGUCGUAGGUCCAGGGUGGGUAGGAGACGGCGAGACCCCAACCAAGCUGCGGCGGUUCAUGGGGUCUGCAGUGCUUAUGGUGUCCAGUGCGGUGCUGAUGGUCCUUGGUAAGCACUAGGAGCCUCCUUUAUACGGUCCAAUCCUCAGCUAACCUAGGGCAACUGCAACAAUCUCCUUCUGGAUAUUCCCGGCAUCAGGUGGAGUCGCCCGUUUGGCGUGAGGAGAGAUGUGGCAGAGAAUUCUGGUCUGUCGCCUGCAGUGGGCUUGGUUGGUGAGUCAGACCCUACUGCAUCUUUACUUGCUUUGUUACAUUCCAUACAACAACUAAUUGAGGCAUGGGGAAAGGGGGGUACACAUAGGUCAGACGGGGGGGCAGGUUUGUGCUCCGGAGGCAGGGGUCCCCGCGGUGGCGGAGCUAGCACCGCAGGGUUCCGCAGUGGAGGGGUCAUCUUCCGUGGCAACGGAUUCGGCGAGUGAGAGGGCAGGGUUGGUGGGAUGUGUGCCGGAUGCGGUGUGCCAGAACGCGUACGUUUUGUGGGAGUGCACCUCAAACAGGACAUGAAGGACAAGAUCUGGAAUGGUGAGAUUGUGGAGGUUUUCACACUCCUCCCUUUGGAGGAAUAUAUUGGAGGAGGAUAAGAAGGACGCCAAAAAGGAGGAAGAGGAGAAACGGGAACUGGCUGCGGGCAUUUUGUAUACUGACCAGUGUGAUUGGGGAGAAGUCUCUGGGCACCUGCUCCUACUUGUUCUGCUAUCUGGAUGGUAUCUGGGAGGUGUACCGGACGUAUGGGGGGAUGGCGUGGUGGAAGUACGACGAGCAGUUCUGCCAGCGGUCGGCAGCUAAUCCAGGGGUGCGGUGGGAUCAAAUGGAUCUCCCUCUGUGGAUGAAGCUGAUGAUGGCUCAGAGGGCUUCUCCCUUUCAGCAUGUGGCCUCUCAUAGAAAGGGGUUUUGCUGGCUCUUUAACGAGGGGCAGUGCAAGUUUGGUUCUACCUGCAAACACAAGCAUGAAUGUUCCGGAUGUGGUGGCUCCCGAUGUUUCAAAAAAGGGAGGGGCAGUGUUGCGGGGGGAGCCUCUGAGCCCAGGACGGCACCUGUUUCUUCGGGGGCCUAACGCCGGUGAAAGUAGAUGAGAUGCUGCCGUGGCUAAGCCUCCACGGUAAUUUGAACGAUGCGGAAUUGGUGCAUUCAGGUUUUACGCAUGGUUUUGUUAUACCGUUUCGGGACAGGGAGUUUGCUUUCGAGUUAUUGUAACUUAAAGUUGGUGGGGGAAUUUCUGGGGGUGGUUCGGGGAAAGCUUUUCAAGGAGGUUCAGUUGGGUCGGAUGGCAGGGCCAUUUGUAGAGCCCCCGCUGCCUGUCCUGCGGUUGUCUCCAUUAGGAGUGGUUCCUAAGAAGGACGUGGGGAGGUACCGUCUCAUCCAUCAUAUUUCGCACCCGAAAGGGGCUUCUGUGAAUGAUGAUAUUGCCAGGGAACUGUGCUCGGUCACAUAUGCAUCAUUCGACCAAGAGGUCGAGUUGGCUAAGAAGGCCAGGCAGGGGGCACUGAUGGCCAAAGUGGACAUCGAGGUGGCAUUCCGGCUGUUACCUGUGCACCCGGAGUGUCAUCACCUGCUGGAGUGUUUCUUUAAGGGCCAGUACUUUGUGGAUCUUUGCCUCCUGAUGGGCUGUUCCAUCUCUUGCUUGUAUUUUGAAAAGUCCAGCACCUUCCUGGAAUGGUUGCUUCAGAAGGAAUCGGGAUAUUGGUCAGUGGUGCACUACAUGGAUGACUUUCUCUGCGUGGGCCCGGCUGAGUCUCCAGUGUGACACUAUCUGCUUUGGACAAUCGAAUGGGUGGCCGGCGUGUUUGGGGUGCCGCUUGCGGCAGGUAAGACUGAAGGCCAAUGGAGUGUCUCAGUUUCCUAGGGCUAGAAAUCAGCUCCCUGUGGUGGGGAAUGUCGUCUUCUCCAGGAAAAACUCCUGGGACUGCAGGAGGCGGUGGCGGGAGUCUGUCGGUCUCGGAAAGUCACAUUGAAGCAACUGCAGUCGCUGAUAGGGAAACUUUGUGUGUCGGGUGAUCCUGAUGGGGCGGAUUUUUUUCACGAGCAAUGGCGGGGGUGCGGUCACUGCAUCAUUUUGCUUGGAUCUUUAAGCCCAUGCGUGCGGACCUUGAUGUCUGGGACACCUUCUUGGAGCACUUUAAUGGGACGGUAUUCUUUCACAGGGCAGACCUAGAGCUGUACACAGAUGCCUUGGGCAGUGUAGGUUUUGGGACCUAUUUUGAGGGGGUGGUGGUGUGCUGCGACUUGGCCGGAGGCCUGGGCGGGCCCGCUGAUGCGGAACUUAGCCUUCCUGGAGCUCUUCCCUCUAUUGGAGGCUCUAUUUCUCUUGGGUGAUCUCCUCAGGGAUUGGAAAGUGGUGUUCUACACAAACAAAAUGUCUGUAAUGCAUGUGGUUAAUCAUAUGUUGGCUUCUUCUGCCCCAGUAGCGCGCCUGUUGCGUUGCUUUGUGUUGCUCUGUAUGUCACUUAACUUGUUAUUCUGCAUGCAUCAUAUGCCAGGAUAUUUAAAAGUGUUGGCUGAUGCCAAUUUCAGGAGACACAGGAGGUGAUGGCAGACGGUCAGGAUUGCUCCGGGGAGAUGUGGAGUCUCGGAACGGCUUGCUUGGGAGACUCGUGAGGUCAUUACUGGCCCCUGGUGCUUGGGAGCAGUCUAUUGCAGGGUUGGACAGGGAGGUGGUAUGGGGUUCCGGGUUGAACGCACUGCUCUGGUAUAUCUUCUGACUUGGCAAAGGGUUCAUCUCCUGUGGUCGUGGAUCGGUAUAUAUCUGCACUCGCAUUUGGUUUAAAAAUGUUAAACCAUAUUCGGCAGGGUUUCCAGAAAGGGCGCAGUGUCCCUGACAUGCGGAGGUCGGUCGGUCUCGACUUACUUGAGGGUCUGGUGCGUGGUCUUCCAGGGCUUUGCUUCAACAGGUAUGAGGCGGGUUUGUUUGACGGUGCUUUCCUCUUGGUUUUCUUCGGGGCAUUUCAGAUUGGGGUGCUGGUCAGCUCCAAUCGGGUUGGUUGUGGGGGUGUUCAGCUUUCGGACAUUCAGUGCGCGGUGGAUAGGGUUGUGGUACAUCUCCGCCGGUCCAAAACGGAUGUUCAGAGUAGGGGUUCAGAUGUCAUGCUGUAUGCUUUCCGGGUUCUCCCUUAUGCCCGGUGGCUAGUGUUGCUCGAUAUUUGGGAUGCCCGCUAGGGCCAGGUUCCUUUCUGAUGCACAGAGAUGGUUCCUCGCUUUCUUGUUUCCGUGUCUUUCAGGGCGGGCUUGGCAGGCUGGGAUUGCGGCCGACUCAUUCCGUAUAGGGGCAGCCACUGGGGCAACUCUGUUAGGAUUGGGUAAUGAGCUGGUCAAGAAGAUUGGGUGGUGGGCAUGGGCGUCCGCAUGAAUUUUCAAGGGGGGAGGGGGCAUAAUUGUAAUUAAAUCCAUGCUUGGCCCCUUUUUGACAGUGUCAUGAAGGGGAGGGGUAUAGUCAUUGUUACAUAAAGCCAGGGUGAACAGCGUUUUCACAACUAUGGUGUCAAGACUACAUGUUUGUAUUCCUGACACUAUAGUGUUCCUUUAAUCAAACUAAAGAAACAUUCUGGUAGCAACUUCAUCUAAAUGAAAAUGCUAAGAUGCCUGGAGGCCCCUGGCUGCUCUCUUUCCUUUAAGGGGUUAAACCACUCUCAAAUGGUUUAACCCCAAAAGGCUUCCUCCAUCUCCAGGUCGCUCAGUGGUAUUCGACUUUUGAAACAGAGUGUCAGGAAGUGCCGAUUGACGUCACUCAUGGUUGCUGAUUGGCUUAGAGUGCCAGCUGACCACUCUAGCCAAUCAGCGACACCCUUACCCAGCAGCACACUAUGCUUCCUGACUCUCAUUAAAUAAAAGUGAACACAUUAACACUGAUAUUUUUACCUGGGGAGAUGAGAAGGUUCAAAGUUUCACUGCAAGGCCCAGGUAUCAAAGCCUUAUGAUGUGGUGUCCAGAAUGUAGUGGAGGCAUCACUUCACUUGUCCUUCCUGCUCCAAUCUCUACUCUUCUUUUUCUUCUGACACUCUCUUCUCUCCUCCUUGGCUCCUUCUACUCCUUUACCUUUCUACUACGUUCUGCUUCUUUUGUGCCCUUUUGCUCCUUUCUCUUUCUGAUCCCUUUCUGCUCCUUGCAGACCCUUUCUACUCCUUCUCCUACUUUACCUUCCUGCUCCUUGCUGACCCUUCGUGUAGGCUGCCCCUAUGCCUCACUUACCUGAUCUGUAGGCUGCCCCGCCAUCCCUCACUUACCUGAUUUGUAGGCUGCACCCCCCAUGCAUUACUUACCUGAUCUGUAGGUGGACUCCCUCCCCAUCCCUCACUUACCUGAUCUGUAGGCUGCCCCACCAUCUCUCACUUACCUGAUCUGCAAGCUGCCCCCCAUUGCUCACUCGCCUGAUCUGUAGGCUGCCCCACCAUUCUUCACUUGCCUGGUCUGUAGGUUGCCCCUCCCAUCCCUCACUUACUUGACCAGUAGGCUGCCCCCCCAUCUCUUACUUACCUGAUCUGCAAGCUGCCCCAUCCCUCACUUACCUGGCCAGUAGGCUUCCCCCCAACCCCUCACGUACCUGAUCUGCAGGCUGCCUCUCAUGCCUCAAUUAACUGAUCAGUAGGCUGCCCCCCAUCCCUCACUUACCUGAUCUGUAAGCUAUCUCCCCCCAUGCCUCACUUACCUGAUCUGUAGGCUGUUCCCCCCCCCACAUCCCUCACCUACCUGAUCUGUAGGCUGCCACCCAUGCCUCACUUACCUGAUAUGUAGGCUGUCUCCCCCAUCCUCUCACUUACCUGAUCUGUAGGCUGCACCCCCCAUCCCUCACUUACCUGAUAUGUAGGCUGUCUCCCCCCAUCCCUCACUUACCUGAUCUGUAGGCUGCAACCACCAUCCCUCACUUACCUGAUCUGUACGCUACCCCCAUCUCUCACUUACCUGAUCUGUAAGCUGCCUCCCAUCGCUCACUUGCCUGAUCUCUAGGCUGUCUCCCCCCAAAGCUCACUUGCCUGAUCUGUAGGCUGUCUCCCCCCAUCACUCAUUUGCCUGAUCUGUAGGCUGUCUCCCCCCAUCCUUCACUUACCUGAUCUGUAGGGUGCCUCUCCCAUCCCUCACUUACCUGAUCUGUAGGCUGUCUUUGCAGUUUGGGAGUUGCAUGUGCUGCUCCUCUGUGGUUUCAGGAAUGAGAGAGAAGCAACGAUAAGAUGUAGCCUCCUAUCCCUGCCUCUCUCCACACACAGCGUCACCUACUGGUCGGCACUGGUAUUGCAGUGCAUUCUAAUCUGAAAAGAAAAGACUGCGGACGCCCAUGAUGGUGGGAAUCAAUGAGGUUCUGGUCAUAUGUUUGAUUGGAGAAAGUGGUGUAAGCAGGAUCUCUAAGGGGUUUGUCAUGGUGGGAGCAGUGCUUGACAUUUUUCAUUUGCUUCCUUAAGUUAAGUGGCUUGGAUCAUGGGCCAUUCCUUUAUUUUCUGGGCCAAGAGGAGAGCUGCAGUUUGUUUCUGGGGUCAGCAGCUGGGCUUUCCUGAGGACCAGAUUAAGUUGCAACAGUUCGGUUAUAGGGGUUAUGGCUGGUAGGAUGUGUGUAAUGAGGUCCUUAGUAUGGUAGCGGGGGGUAGGCGGCCGGAUGUGCUCAUGCUGCAUGUGGGUGGUAACGGCCUUGGACUUAUCCUGCGACGGCUGCUAGUUAAGAGAAUGAAGAAGGAUGUAAAUAGGAUAGGUCCUGGGUCCCUGGGGUUCAGUUGGUGUGCUCGGAGAUAGUUCCCGGGCUCCGUUGGCGGCAUGCGUGGGAUUUGGCAGCUGCGGGGUGCUACUGAUAAAAGGUUAAUGGGUUGAUGGCUAGUUUUAUACUGAAGUUAGGCGGGGUGGUAGUCAGGCACAAGGAACUGGAGGACAUGCUGCCUGGCUAUUUCAUUCAGGAUGGCGUGUAUCUCUCAGAUGUGGGAUGCAAUUUGUUUAAUUUGGGGCUGCAGGAAGGGCUGUCCAAGGCUUUGUUUAUUCAGGGUGGCGGAGCUCAGACGGCUUAAGGAUUCAUGGUCUGAGCUUGUGGCGGGCUGUUAUAAGGAAGGUUAAAGGGGUAACAGUGAUCGAUACACACACAGAGAUGGAGAAUUGUAAUAGUGAUCGAAUGGAAAGCCGAAUGGAAUCGGCAAAACGCGUUUUGGACUCACCAGUAUACUGUAUGUAUUAGACUGAUUUUUAAUGUCUAUGUAAUAAAUAUUGUUUUUGAAUUUUGAGUACAUACAUCUGGUGCAUCUUCUAUCCUGCCUAAGGAGGGAGGGAGUCAUCCUUAAGCAGACUCAUCUACUUAUACACUUAGAGCCAGGUCAUAGGCUCUCACUCACGUGAGAAGCAACCUUUACCUGUGCAUAUACAAAGAAUUGUUACUGUUAUAAAAAGGAUUUCAACACCAGGGCGAGUUUUCCCCUUUUUCUCUUUUUUUUUUCUAUUUUGAGGAAUACAUCUCAUCUGGAUUUAGAUGUGUGUGUCACCUCAAUGACACAAGGCGCGAGUGAUUAGAGCCAAUCCCUAAUAGGCUCUGAACCACGUGAGUGCUUCUUAAUUAUAAGGUGUAUGAUCACGUUUAUAUAUCGGAAUACACUAUAUAUUUCUGUAAUUUUUCCUAGCUACCUGAAUACCAUUAGUACUCCUAAAUAAAUCUGGGGAGUAAGUGAACACUAUUUAGCGCUACACAUCCUCACUACUACACACUGGUUGUGGAAAUAGUGUGAUUCUUGCAUGUAAAGGGGCCUGCUUAGGGAAGAGAAGAGCAAGAGUAGUUAGUUGGCUGGUUAAUGUGGUUGGUUACCUGUUGGCAAGAUGAUGGUGGGUUUCUAACUCGUUGGUAGCUCAGAACCCGGGUGGUGUAGGGGUAUCAGGGUAUACCCCUGCCAGGAUCGUGUGGAAAAUGUUGGAUCUUGUUUAUGUUAUAUUUACGUGAUUGUUCUACUAUGUUAUGUUAUAUAUUAUGGGUCAUUGCCUUGUGAUUUGAUAUGUGGGGAAGUGAUAAUGUUGGAUGGUUGAGGAUUUGGGGAUGGGCAAUGACUUUAAAAUGUUAUUCAUAUGUUAUUGUUAUUAUUAUUAUAAUACAAUUAAAGCUGUGGACAUAUUGACCCAUACCUAAGAGUGUAAGUAUUUUAUUAGAGGUGGGCGCUUACUCUGCACGGGCCGGGGCCGCAACACAUGGCGGCGGGCACCUGGUCACAGGGGUACGCACAGCUGCGACCCCUGCAACCAUGGUAUGCAUGCUACUGCAUGCAGAUACAUACACUUAAAGGACCACUAUAGGCACUCAGAUCACUUCAGCUCAAUGAAGUGGUCUGGAUGCCAGGUCCCUCUAGUUUUAACCCUGCAGCUGAAAACAUAGCAGUUUCAGAGAAACUGCUAUGUUUCACUGAGGGUUAAUCCAGCCUCUAGUGGCUGUCUCACUGACAGCCGCUAGAGGCACUUCCGCAAUUCUCACUGUGAGGGGUUUGUAUAUGUGCCUCCCACUUUUUAAGGGACCAAAAGUAAUGGGACAGAUUAACAGUCAUAAAUCAAAUUUUCACUUUUUAAUACUUGGUUGCAAAUCCUUUGCAGUCAAUUACAGCCUGAAGUCUGGAACGCAUAGACAUCACCAGACAAGGCUCACCAAUGGUUUACAUCUUGUGGUGAACCCUCUGGUGAAGUCUUCUCUUGAUUGUUGACUUUGACACACAUACACCUACCUCCUGGAGAGUGUUCUUGAUCUGGCCAACUGUUGUGAAGGGUGUUUUCUUCACCAGGGAAAGAAUUCUUCGGUCAUCCACCACAGUUGUUUUCUGUGGUCUUCCGGGUCUUUUGGUGUUGCUGAGCUCACUGGUGCGUUCUAUCUUUUUAAGGAUGUGCCAAACAGUUGAUUUGGCCACACCUAAUGUUUUUGCUAUCUCUCUGAUGGGUUUGUUUUGUUUUUUCAGCCUAAUGAUGACUUGCUUCAAUGAUAGUGACAGCUCUUUGGAUCUCAUAUUGAGAGUUGACAGCAACGGAUUCCAAAUGCAAAUAGCACACCUGGCCAUGGAACAGCUGAGCAGCCAAUUGUCCCAUUACUUUUGGUCCCUUGAAAAGUGGGCGGCACAUAUACAAACUGUUGUAAUUCCUACACCGUUCACCUCAUUUGGAUGUAAAUACCCUCAAAUUAAAGCUAUAAGUCUGCAGUUAAAGCACAUCUUGUUCAUUUCCUUUCAAAUCCAUUGUGUUGGUGUAUAGAGCCAAAAAGAUUAGAAUUGUGUUGAUGUCCCAAUAUUUAUGGACCUG